AAGUGCACAGCUCAGUAGAAUUAAAUACAUUCACACUGCUGCAAAUCACCACUACCAUCUCCAGAACUGAAACUGUGUGUCCAUUAAACAAGAAUUCCUCAACAUGUCUCCACUCAACAGCUGGAAAAGAAACAAAAGAAAAUUUGAAAGGGGUGAUGUUCCAACAUAUCAAGUUCAUGAAGGGACAUAAUUAUGCUGUUAUGUGAAAGAAUCAACUCUGUGUGCUCAGCAGACCAUCCAGACACAUCCUAAGCAUUGUGUCUCCGAAGUAGAUCAGUUUAGCUGUGACAUCCUAUAGCAGUAUCUCUAUUAUGUGUCCUGUUCUAUUCAUCAGCAUCUCAACCGAAAAGACACACCCUGGUAAAUGUGACAGUUCCUUUUGGAGAAUGCAGGGAGAAAGACAGAAGAUAUACAUGUUUGACUGUGUGGGCAAGGUCCUUCCUCAAAGAGACAAGCUUCCCCUUCAUUCAAAGGGCUGUGGAUCUGUGACUGCCUGGAGGAGAACCAUGACCAUUGAGCUAAUGCAAGAGAUCUCUGCAGAUCAAAGCAUUUGGGACACUCCAGCUCUGCAACCUAUUGCAGUAACCACGAUGGCAGCUGGCCCUGACACUCUGGGAUCCCAUCAGCCUGAUUGCCUUCAAGGUGCCCACUUAAAAGGCAGCAUUUCUAACUGUCAUUGCAGCGAAUAUCUGCACUGAAUUCUUCACAGAUUCUGGGCAUCUCCUCCCCAAAUUUAUUUUCUUACAGCUUUGGAGAUGGGAAUUUUCUGGGGUCCUUUUGGGGACACAUAAUUAGAGGUAAACUGUCUGUCAUAUGUGAUAAAUCCACCCUACUCUUCC